GUCACAUGUAAACAAUUAAAUAAUUUUAUGCUGAUGAAAUCGCACGGGAACAUCUAGUUCAAAUAUAGAUGAGGAUAGCGAAAAAAAGAUUCCUUCGGGAAUAUUCUAUAAUCUACCUAUAUUCUAUGACAGUGCUUUCAUCCUGAUACCUGGCCACUAUAAAAAACAAACUUCGUUAAAAUGUCAAAUUUUAAUCUAUAAAGUGAAUAAAAUGAAUCCUAGUAUAAUUAUUCAGAGUUCAAAGAACACUUUCGAUAGUAACAGACGACGCUAGUAACAGGAAUUUGUGAGAUCCGAUGCUCGAUCGAUCAUUUUAUUGGAAAUGUUCUAUUAGAUCUACUGUCUAAUGUGACGUCAGAAACAACCGAACCUAUGGUGGAGUUCUGGACCAUUCCAGCACAAUUGGAGACAUUUCCUAUCGAAACUUCAGUAUCUCAUUGUGCUACAGAACUGAUGGAGUGCUACACUAUGACGAUUUUCAAAAUACCCAUAUGUGCUGUUAAUGAUAAAACUUUAAAGGGCUCCAGUGCAACAAAGAAGGCAUUCCCAACAUUCUGUGACAUGCACUAUAGGAAUUGCAAAAGUAAUGUAGAGUCGUGGCAUUAUUUGAAGGAUGAUGAUGGAACGGGAAAGUGUUAGCGUUUAAAUAAGUUUAAUAUAUGCUUCAGUUCUAAUA